rnacentral:tRNA from 1 species
UAUUAGAUGACUGACAUAAGUGUUAGUUUUUUAAACUUUUUAUAGUGACAUCACUUCUAAUAC